AAGAAAACCUUCUGGAAAUAAGCAGAUAUCAGAGAAAGUUCAAGACAGAAAGAGACUAAGAGAGUAUCACCACCCUGGCCAGGCUGAGAGAGAUGAUCAUGAUGAGCAGAGUUAUCUAGAAGGCAGAAAUGUAGACGUGAGCAUGACGAGGCAUAUUAUUCCAACUUGGAUGAAAGCCCUGACUCCCACACAGACCAAAGAAAACAGAACGUCUAAGACUGGUAAUGGAAAUGGUUCUUCCAGGCAGAACGAACAUUCCCU